rnacentral:rRNA from 1 species
GACGAACGCUGGCGGCGUGCCUAAUACAUGCAAGUAGAACGCUGAAGAGAGGAGCUUACUCCUCUUGGAUGAGUUGCGAACGGGUGAGUAACGCGUAGGUAACCUGCCUUGUAGCGGGGGAUAACUAUUGGAAACGAUAGCUAAUACCGCAUAACAAUGGAUGACACAUGUCAUUUAUUUGAAAGGGGCAAUUGCUCCACUACAAGAUGGACCUGCGUUGUAUUAGCUAGUAGGUGAGGUAAUGGCUCACCUAGGCGACGAUACAUAGCCGACCUGAGAGGGUGAUCGGCCACACUGGGACUGAGACACGGCCCAGACUCCUACGGGAGGCAGCAGUAGGGAAUCUUCGGCAAUGGGGGCAACCCUGACCGAGCAACGCCGCGUGAGUGACGAAGGUUUUCGGAUCGUAAAGCUCUGUUGUAAGUCAAGAACGGGUGUGAGAGUGGAAAGUUCACACUGUGACGGUAGCUUACCAGAAAGGGACGGCUAACUACGUG